rnacentral:lncRNA from 1 species
UAAACAUCAUCUCUAUAUUGGUUAAGGAAGAUAAGAAUACUAAGCACAUUUCUAAGUAUAUUCAUUUUCAAUCUUUGUAAUUCCUCUCAAAUUGUUCUUCUUUUACUGUAGUAUCUUUCAAGACAUAAACCUAUAUGGUUGAUAUUAUGAGAAAUUAUGAGAAAUUAUUAACAUUAGUGGAAAAUGUAAUUGGAUAUUAUGAGAAAUUAAAAAGACUUUUGAAUUUAGGAAAAUUAAUUUAAGGAGUGGAUUAAAUUGUAAACGUAUAAGAAAUGUAGGCCAUAGUGUAAAAAUUAAAAAUAUAAAAAGACUAGAUUAUAUGGAUGAGAAAAAGAGAAAGAAUUAGAAGAGAAAUUUAACCAUAAUAGUACAUGGAGAUGUGGUUGAGAUUGAAAAUGAAUUGGCACCAUUUAAUUGUAAACAUUUUUAGUGCAUAGAAAGAUGUUGAAAGAAAAAAGGAAAAACUAAAAUCUAUUCAUCAUCAUUUUUCAAGCUUUCCCUUCACACCCCUCUCUGUAACACCCCUAACCUACACUCGUCACCAGAACGGGGUUACAGGAUGUUAGUGGAGUUUACAGAAUAAUUACACAUAAUUCCACUAUUUGCUCAUAUUCCAGUCAAGCUGUCUUCUCGAGUCAUAGUUACUAAAUUAUUUAUAUCUGGAGUUACAGAACUCCAAAUUAAUAUUUGCUAAUUUUACUUGAAACUAGACUCAUAUAUCUUCUUAUCAUAAAAUUUUCAGAAUUUAUUUAUUAGCCAAUAAGUACAGUUUAUUCUUCAAAGUUACCCCUGAUCUGCUAUUUGACAGCUUUGACCUUUCUUUACUAAAAAUUAAUUAUCUCCUCAUAUGAUAUUCGGAUGAUAUUCCCGUUUGUUUCUUUUGAAAAUAGACUCAUUAAGGAUUUUAAUAAUAUAAAUUAUAACCCAUAAUUAUUUUUUUAUAAUUUUUAAUUAUUUUCCCAAAUCAAAACAGGGGAUUCCAAAAUCAUUCUGACUCUGUCUCACAAAAAUUCCAGUAUCUAAUAAAAUAAUAUUCUUUUGCUUGCACUGUUUCUUCUAUGUAAAACUAGACUCAAUAAGCUUUAAUUUCAUAUUUUUUUCAACCUCUAAGUCGAUUUUCACUAUUUUUUGUGAUUUUUAAAAUUUGGACUACUGCUGCUAUCCAAAAGUAUUUUAGUGAAAAUGUUGAUAACUAAGUUUAUAACACCUUCACUUCCUUUUUAUUAAACCCUAUACAUGCCAUAUAAACCUUAAAAUGCACAAUAAAAUUUAUCGAAUUAAUCUGGAUAGUGUGCCCUGUUGUGUUGCUCCGAUCCACCGAUUUCACGUCAAUCUACAAAAAACAUUUAACACACAGGAGUAAGCUUAUGAAAGCUUAGUAAGUUCAUAGGCAUAGAAAAUAAUUCUUACCGAAAAUCUUAUAACAAUUAUACAAUACAUAAUUUCACCAAUUCUUUCUGUCAAUCACAAAAUCAAUGACAAAAAUCACUUGAUUGAGCUCAAUAUCAAUAAAUAAUCAAUUUCAAUCUCUUGGGUCCAUUUAUCGCUUACUUUUCUUAUCAAUUUAAGGAACGGUUACGGAAUUGAGUACUUCGUUUUCACAAUGCUAUAGUAUAACUAUGGUCUUGCACAUAAUCAUAUAUCACACAUCGAAGCCAUAGUCCAGCUAUGAUCUUAUAUGGAAGCACAUAUCACAUAGAUGCCAUAGCCCAGCUAUGGUCUUAUACGGAAGCACAUAUCACACCGGUACCAUAUCCCAGCUAUGGUCUUAUAUAGAAAUCACAUAUCACACCGAUACCAUAUCUCAGAUAUGGUCUUAUAUAGAAGCACAUAUCACAUAUUGCCAUGGUCCAACCAUGGUCUUUUCCGUCAAUGCGUAUUAGUCACUGAACGAUAAUACUCAAUCCGAUGUUCCACUAAAUUAGAACUUUAUUCAAAUAUUCAUACUUUCACAAUUAUCUCAGUUUAAUAACAUUCAUAUACAAUAACAUACCAUAGCAUUCAUUAAUUUUCAUAAAAAUUCAUUAAAUUUAGCCAUAUGAACUUACCUACGCAAAUUCGCAAAAGUCGUAUAAGUUCAGGGAUUAAUCGACUAUUUUCUUUUUUCCACGAUUCACUUCGGGUUCUUGAUCUAUAAUUGUAAAAUUAUUUAUUUAUUAGCAUUCAUUUCAAUUUUACUCUUCUUCACAGUUUAUACCCUUUAAUUCCUAAAAUUACACUUUUACCCCAAAAUUUAUAGUUUUUACAAUUUAGUCCCUACUUGUUUAACUCAUCAAUUGAGCUAAUUUUUUUCUCAAUUAACACUUUAUUUAUUCAUUCUAAGCUACUAAAAAAAACUUUUAAAAUCAGAAUUUCAACACCAAACCUUAAUUCACAACUUUUUUACAAUUAGGUCCUAAAAUCAAUUUCUAUCAAAAUCACUUAAUAAAAUCAUCAUAUAAUAAAAUAAGAACUUAAAUUCCAUAAAAAUUCACCAUAAACAUACAGCACUUAUUCAUGGUAACUUUUAAAGUCACCCAUAAAAUCAAAAGCUAAUGAAUUCAAUAGGUGGACAUAAUUGUAAAAGUCACAAAAACAUAAAAAUUACUAAGAAAAAGUAAAAAUUGAACUCACAUGGUGCAAAAAUAUGAAAAACCAGCAUAGGAGACCUGCUAUGACGUUUUUUUUUUUGGCUGAGAAAGAUGAAGAAAUGUCUAGAUUUUUCAAUUACAUCAUUUUUAACUACUAACUUUUAUUCUAUUUCCAAUUUUGCCCUUUGUUCACAUUGAUUUCUUGCUUAUUUAAUACCCAAACCG